UACGAAGGGGGCUAGCGUUGCUCGGAAUCACUGGGCGUAAAGCGCACGUAGGCGGACUCUUAAGUCGGUGGUGAAAUCCUGGAGCUCAACUCCAGAACUGCCUUCGAUACUGAGAGUCUCGAGUCCGGGAGAGGUGAGUGGAACUGCGAGUGCAGAGGUGAAAUUCGUAGAUAUCGCAAGAACACCAGUGGCGAAGGCGGCUCACUGGCCCGGUACUGACGCUGAGGUGCGAAAAGCGUGGGGAGCAAACAGGG
rnacentral:rRNA from 1 species